UACGUAGGGGGCAAGCGUUAUCCGGAUUUACUGGGUGUAAAGGGAGCGUAGGCGGCGGAGCAAGUCAGAAGUGAAAGCCCGGGGCUCAACCCCGGGAGGGCUUUUGAAACUGCCCUGCUUGAUUUCAGGAGAGGUAAGCGGAAUUCCUAGUGUAGCGGUGAAAUGCGUAGAUAUUAGGAGGAACACCAGUGGCGAAGGCGGCUUACUGGACUGACAAUGACGCUGAGGCUCGAAAGCGUGGGGAGCAAACAGG
rnacentral:rRNA from 1 species